CGGACUCGUUGUGAUUCUGAAGUUUAUUUUCUUUCAUGCACUGGGAUGUUUUAAUAACAGGCUCGAUGUGAGCCUCGUUGCCUGGCAACCGCCUGCUGUCAACAUGCAUACCGUGUUACCGUGGGAACAGGAUGACUGGUGGGAAGAGUGGGACACAAAGCUGCGUUCCAACAAACAGUGUUCAGCUGACAUCUGGGGUCAACAUCAUGAGAUCCAACAGCUGGUGCUCCAGUGGAGUGUUUUUAAGUGCUGUUCUGAACUGAACGCAAAAGAGCCAAUGCGGUGCUUCAAACGCUACCGAGCACCCCAUUUAUGACCAGUUCUUUCUGCAAAUGCCUUCUCUCCACAUUUUUCACGUGCAAAUUGGAUAACUUGAGGUCUGAUAAACAAACUGUUCUUGUUUAAAGAAUUCUGGAAUUUACUGCAGUUAGGGAUAAAUCAGCUUCUCAUCACUGCAGGGCUAAAACAAUUUUCAAUCACAUUAGGACGUGUUAUUAUUUUC
ensembl:lncRNA